rnacentral:rRNA from 1 species
GACGAACGCUGGCGGCGUGCUUAACACAUGCAAGUCGAACGGAAAGGCCCCAGCUUGCUGGAGUACUCGAGUGGCGAACGGGUGAGUAACACGUGGGUAACCUGCCCUGCACUCUGGGAUAACCCUGGGAAACUGGGUCUAAUACUGGAUAUGACCUUUCUCCUCAUGGGGUUUGGUGGAAAGUUUCUCGGUGUAGGAUGAGCCCGCGGCCUAUCAGCUUGUUGGUGGGGUUAUGGCCUACCAAGGCGACGACGGGUAGCCGGCCUGAGAGGGUGACCGGCCACAUUGGGACUGAGAUACGGCCCAGACUCCUACGGGAGGCAGCAGUGGGGAAUAUUGCACAAUGGGCGGAAGCCUGAUGCAGCGACGCCGCGUGAGGGAUGACGGCCUUCGGGUUGUAAACCGCUUUCAGCAGGGACGAAGCGUGAGUGACGGUACCGGCAGAAGAAGCACCGGCUAACUAUGUG